UCUUCCCUGAAUCUAUUCAGAGAACAUCCAUAAAAGGACCUGCUAGUCUCCCGGAGCAGAAAAUAUACUACUUUUGAAUAGGAAUAUCUAGGUUUGAGUUCUGGUUCCCCAUUUCAAGCAAGUGAGUGAACUUCUCUGAGUCUCAAUUGUCCUUGAUAAUUAAAUGAGAAGAACAAUGAUUGUCUUGUGGUCCUCACAUGGUGGUUGUUAGGAUCAAAUGAGACAGGCCAUGCACAUGACAUGCAGCAUGUUGGGACGACCAAGUAGAAGCCAGACAUGGAGAGAGAAGAGAGAAUGAAAGGUAUCUGAGAUGGUGACAUGUCCCGGCAGGCUGUGAUUCAGCUAACUUGAAGUGAAUGAAAGACAACAAGAAGCAGAGAGCCAAGUUGUUACCAUAUGACCCUCCGAUAGGGCAUUUUUCUCUGUCUCUGAAAUAGAAAUAAUAUCUGGUGUGUUGGUAUCAGAGAAUUCUAGUAAGAAAGAAAUGCAUUAUAAUUUGUGUAUGUGCUGGGGAACAGACCAACAGACCAACCAUGCCCUACAGUUGAAACAAUGAAGUAGCAUCAACAACAGAACUAACUUAAACCUAAGAAUCAACUGACAAGACAUUAAGCUGAUCAUUCAUCACCCUCAGGAACCUUGUUUAAGCUUUCGGAGCUUCAUUGCAUUAACUUAUAAAUAUAUAAUCUGCACCCCAGAUGCUCAAAAUGUGGCUUAUGGAUCAGCAAUGUCAGUAUCAGCAGGAAACUUGUAAGAAAUGCACACUCUUGGGUCCUCGGCCCAGAACUUCUGAGUAGAUACUCAGAAAUGAGUAUCUACAAAUGAGUAGAUACUCAGAGGUAUGUAUAAGUGCAUACUCUAUUUAACAAAUAUGAAUAUGUACGCUAUUUAACAAAGUCUCAUAUGCAUAUUAAAGUUUGAGACACCCUUUUUCAUCCACAGAGUUGAGAAAAAUAUUAACCAAUAUAGCACAUCAGAGAAUUGCUUCAAAGUUAGUAAUGACCAGUUAAUAAAGUCUUUGUAUAUGACAGCUCAAGAAGUAGGAGAACUUCUAAUGCUACUGUAAUUUAAGCCAUGUUGUAUCACUUCCCCAGAGUAGAAUGUAAGUUUUUUUUUAAACCAUGUCCCACUUUAUGCCUUCCCAGUUAUAUUCCAGCUCUUAAUAUGUGUGAAUGUGAACCAAGGCCAAGCAGGCUGAAUGCAGUUUGUGUUCAAAAGGUAGAUGCCUGGAUUUCAAUCUUGUCUUGACCACUUACUUACUCUCAGUGUGACUUGAGCCAUUUACUUAUCCUUCUGUCUCAGUUUCUUCACUUGUAAAAUGAGAAUGAUGAUGUUAUCUGUCUCCUAGCUGUGCUAAAAGAUUAAACAAGAUAAUCCAUGCAAAUAACUUAGCACAAUGCUUCAUAUGUAGCAAUGUUCCCUUCCUUGUCUGAAUUCUUACUAUGUCUAUUAGAAUUUGCUUUGGUUCAUAAUAAACUCUGUCAUAUGUUGUUUCCAUAUUUGUAUUUUAAGAACCUUGAUGAAAAGUUGCUGUCUUAUACUGGUGUUUUUAAAGCCACAAAUGGAUUAUCUGUCUAAAGUCUGUUAGUUGAGACAGUAUGGCAUUUGGAAUGCAUUUUUUUCAGUAGGGUCUUAACCUAAUCCUCAAAUGUAUGUCCAAGUAAUGAUCAAGCUUAUACUAGUUAUACCAUGGUUAGUACUACGUCUAGCAGUACUACUAUAGUAGUCAUACUAUAGUAACUAACAACCUUUAAGAUAAUAUGUCUAUUGGAAAACACAUUUACUGUUAUCUUUUGGACUCCUUCUGCUUCAAUAGAUUUAGUGUUUUUCUCUAGGGAGUUGGGAAGUCAAAAGCUAGCUGGAGGUAAGGAUAGGGCUCAGUGCCCCAGAAGUCAGGUCCAACCUGCUAGUACUGUUCCAUGUGUGUAUUGGUUACACCUGACAUUUCCCAAUCUCUCUGAGGAAUAGGGUGGUAAAUACCUGUGUAGAUAGAGAGAUGCCCCAGCCUUAGAGCUAAAAGUAUUAGAUUUGUGUCUCAGCUUUCAUGUCUACUAAAUUUUGAGCCUUAUUUAAUUUAAAUCAUCUGGGCUUUGACUUCCUUAUUUAUAAAAUAGAAAGAAAUACCAGUAUUUUAACCAGCUGACUCCAAAAACAAAUAUUUUAUUAGAGAUAUCUUUAUAAACCCUUAAUAUUUAGAAAAAGCAUUAAGAAGAAAUUAAAGUGAUGUGGAUGAUAAAAGUAUUCCCCCGACCCUUGACUUUGGUGCCUUCUCUCCUCUUAUAAAGAUAUUAAGCAAAAUCUAUGCUUUGGGUAUGCUUUAUGAUUCUUCAUGGAAAUCCCUGAGAGAGGUAUUAAAAGUAACUAGUGAAAUUGAUUUCUGUCAGCACCACAAUUACUAUUUAUUUCCACCAUUGACUCAACAUAGAGACUGCCACAUGAUACCGGAGAAUGUUAAAAGCUGCCCUUAAGUAGCUCCCCCACUGGCUUCCUAUGGGGUUAAGUCUCUGUAAUGGCAUUAUUCCUUCAGGGUUUCUAGUGGAGCUAGGGUUUUUUUUUUUUUCUUUUUUCCUUUCUGAUCUGGGUCAAGCCUAAUGUGUUAUCCUAGGAGGGUUCAUAUAUUAGCUAGUUAACAUAUUAGCAGGGGUUAUUGUCUCUGAUUAAAUCAUUACUACCCACUGUCUUGUAGGAAAGAAAAGGACCCUGGGGGAUCAGGGCACAUGAUGGACACAUGUUGAUGAAAGGGAAGCAAAAUCAGAAGAAUGGCAGUUUGGAUCCAGUUAAAAUUUUGGCCCAAUGGUUUUUAGGCACUAAAUCACUGAAAUUAGGUCUGUAGAAGAGGAUUCAAGAAAAAAUAAAUUCCUAAUGUAUUACCUUUUCGAGAGCCAGGCUUUGUUUGCAUCUUGGAUAUCAUAUGUAGUUCAACGUAGACUCCAUAUAAAAGUAUUAAUAUUAAGGCUUUUUAGAUUCCGUUGAUAAAACUAGUGGUUAAACAGCUUCAUCAAAGAGGUUUCUCCCAUUAUUGUCAACAUACAAAACACACUUUGGAAAAUUUGCUUCAGUUUUCACUUAAUUUCAUAUAUGUACAUUAGCUUACAAAUAAAAAUAUUUUAGAAUAAUUUGUAAUUUAAAAUAAAACAUCAAUUCUUUAUGUUUUCUAAUAUUUUUGGGCCCUGGAAAAUUUUCAUCUCAUAGACCUAAAGCUGUAAGAUGAUAAUAUUUAAAUGCAAGUCACAAGCUUCAAUUAGGUACAAUCAGAAAUCAUGCGGUGACUUCAUUAAGUAUCAUUAAGAAUGAUCAAAAUAUUGCUCUUAGGAAAAAUACAUCAAAAGCAUUGCAUUUACACAUUGAUUAAACAGGAUCUGCAAUUUCUAAAAUCUGGUAUGAGAAAAAAGAAUGGAGUAAAUUAAGUGCUCAUAUCCCACUUAGCAACAAGGGAGUGCUUAGCAACUGGCAAAGGAAGAAAUAAAGGGAGAUGGUAGGAAACAAAAUAUGAUCAGCCUCUGAAAAGGGUGAGAAAUCAAGAAAUGACAAUGUAACUAAUUGGGGAUGGAGGAGAGGUUGCAGUCCCAGAAGCAGAGGGCCACAAAGUCACCCCGCUUUUUGAAAGUUUUAAAAAUUAUUUUUAUUUCCUUUGUAACCAUAGGAAAUUAGGCUCAUAAUUAGGAAUCAAGGGCACAGGGAAGACUCUCUCCAAAACCAUGACUGUGAUCCGAGUCAUGUGUGGUGAGAGGCAUGCAGUCCUUUAUAAGCUCUUUUCUCUUUUCCUCAUGCACUCAGUGUGCAAUCUAGCUCUCAGUUCUAUAAGGUCUUACGUCCGAAGGAGGCUUAGGAGGACUUGAUAUUAUAUCCAUUUGACAACUUUUAAAGAGUAUUAUUGUUCUAAUCAUGUCCCGUGUCCCCCUUGUUUUCUGUUUGAUUUGCCUUCCCUGGAUAUCCCAUUUAUCCCAGGCCUUUGGCUCCUGGCUUAUAAUGAUCGUUUCCAACUCUUCUUAUCCAGUCAGAGAUAUCUUUUUCCUGUGCUUAAAUCUGUGCCCAUGAAUUUCCCAGAGGCCAUUCAAACCUACCCUCAGACCUCAGCCUCCCCAUUCUCUUACUACUUUCUUCAUCAUCACCUUACGAAGGCCCUUGUUCAUGCAGGCAACAUAUCCAGGAACCUCCCCAUUUCAGUCUCCUCACUCCAAUAUUUAGUUGGUUUGCUGAUUCUCUCUCUGAAAUACAUCCCAAACUCACUCUUCUUUACAAUCAAUCUGAGGUAAAAAAUUCAUGAUCUCUUAUCAGGAGAAACAUCUAAAUUCUUAGCAUCACAUGAAGGGACUUAAUAAUCUGGCCAAAUUAAUGUUUCUUUUUAACCUUGAUUCUGCUACUUCUUCCUUGCACACAGACAUGCUCUGGGCAUAUUAAACAGAUAAAUUUUUCUAGGACAUGUGUUUUCUGAUACCUGUUGUCCAAAACUUAUGGUGUGAUCUCCUUGUAGAAUAAUCUUUCCUUUUUAUUAUUAUUUUUUUGAGCCAGAAAAACUCUCACAGAGUCUUAAUGUUGACCUCUUUAUUUCAUUCUUGGUAUCGGGCUUAUGGUAACUUCUCCUAUCAAUUUUGUUUAUCAAAGAAAUCCCAAAGGAACAGACAUUUACAAUGUAAUUUCAUAUAUUACAGAACACAUCACUGAAAGCAGUAGACAUUCAAUUAAUAUCUGUUUAAUUGAAUUAAAUAUAUGGACAAGAACCCAAUUUUCCCAGAAUCAGAGCUUACAGAUCAAGAGUUGAAAACUUUUCUGUAAAGAGCUAGAUAGUAAAUAUUUCAGGCUGUACAGGCCAUAUGGUCUCUGUUGCAACAAUUAAA